AACGUGCCCAGAUCUAAGGAGUAGCCACUGGAAACGGUGAGUAAUACCUUAUACGCCCUUCGGGGGAAAGAUUUAUCGGAUUUGGAUCGGCCCGCGUUAGAUUAGGUAGUUGGUGGGGUAAUGGCCUACCAAGCCUACGAUCUAUAGCUGGUUUUAGAGGAUGAUCAGCAACACUGGGACUGAGACGCGGCCCAGACUCCUACGGGAGGCAGCAGUGGGGAAUCUUGGACAAUGGGCGCAAGCCUGAUCCAGCCAUGCCGCGUGAGUGAUGAAGGCCCUAGGGUCGUAAAGCUCUUUCGCCUGUGAAGAUAAUGACGGUAGCAGGUAAAGAAACCCCGGCUAACUCCGUGCCAGCAGCCGCGGUAAUACGGAGGGGGUUAGCGUUGUUCGGAAUUACUGGGCGUAAAGCGCGCGUAGGCGGAUUAGUCAGUCAGAGGUGAAAUCCCAGGGCUCAACCCUGGAACUGCCUUUGAUACUGCUAGUCUUGAGUUCGAGAGAGGUAAGUGGAAUUCCGAGUGUAGAGGUGAAAUUCGUAGAUAUUCGGAGGAAC
rnacentral:rRNA from 1 species